AACAGCGCGCGGACGUGCGCCCCCUGCCGGCCAGAGCGCGGCGCGCGGCCUACGCCGCCAGCGCCUCGUGAGAGUUGACGGUGCGCCCGGGAGCGCCGCUCAGCCAAUGGCCGCCCGCGCUGCGGCCCUGGACACGCCCUCUUCGAGAGGACCGCCGGAGGUCCAUCCUCCCAGGCCUUGAGAGCGUGCCUGCUUCUGUGUCUAAGGAGCUGAUGCGAUGGCGCGAGUGUCUCAUUGCCCGCGCCCCGCUCUGUUUUUUAAAUUUAUUUUUAUUUUUUCCUUUUGCUUUGCUUUGCCCAAGAGUCUUUCCCCCAAACUGAUCAUUCUUCUUCCAGCGUGUUGAUUUACCUAUUUGCUGGUGCUGUAUGAAACCAGAGAGUACAACUUUAAUUUUCCCCUUUCAGAAGCCUAAUCCUUCGAGAGAAAGGCCUCAGCCCAUGAAACAUUAAACAAUAAAAAUACCACGGGGCAGUUAGUUUCCAGGCUGGCACACUCAGGAGUGCACGGAGGACUUCACGUUGUUUCUGAGAUGUACAUUUGUAGACCCUUUGAGACCACACGUGGUAGCACGCGCCUACAAUUCCUCCACUCGGCAGGCUGAGGCAGGAUCCUCGGAGGGAGGAUCAGGAACCCAGUGUUAGCCUGGGCUGUGGAAUGCAAAUACCUACUUUAAAACAACCAACGGACAGUGCCUUGCAUAUUUUACUUAAUAAUACUGUUGCUGUAACUCCAUGGUUUCUUGGUGAAGAGAAAAGUAAUCUACAUUUCCUUUGGCUGCAGAAGAAAGGGAUACAAGCCAGAAGAACUUGGCUGCAAAGUCAUUGUGAUCAGAUGCAAAGCUGCUGUGCUCUGGAAGCCUGGAGCCCCACUGCCAUUGAGGAGAUGGAAGUGGCCUCACCAAAGCGAAGGAGGUUCGAAUAAAGGCUGGAAACCCAAAGAGGAAAUCCCUAAGCUGGUUUCUGACUACAUGGCACAGAAGUUUAACCUAGAUCCUCUGGUCACCCACACCCUGACUCUCAGUGAGGUCCAUGAGGCAGUUCAGCUAAUGAAAAGCGGGCAACGGUAAUCACUUGUCACUUCUGUCCGUGUCUGGAUGUGGGGACAGGGGGUUGUCGCUGCUACAGUACUACACAAAGAUCUACCCUUGCCCUCUGAAUUUUGCUUUAUUGCUGGGAGUGUUAAGGUAGUAGAUAGGGUUCACAUUAUUUCUUCAUACAAGAUGGAGCUAAAGAUGCCAUCCCAUAAAGUUAGGAUCUAAGUUUAGGAACACGAGUUACAGAGCUGGAGAAAAGACUCUGCAGGUGAAAACUCUUGCUGCAACGAUGAACAUCCUGGCUUUAAUCCCCAGUACCCCAUAGAGAUGGUAGGAGAGGCCCGACUGCACAAGGCUGUCCUUCUGACUUCCUUAUGCACACUUGGCGCACAUCUAUCCUCUACUCCUCCCCACAGUAAGAUAAAAUAUGGAAAGAAAGGUUGAAGCCACUUUACAAGGGGGUGUAGUUAUCAUGUUCAUGUUUUAUUUCUGUGUGGGGAUCGUCUAUAGAAUUCCUAAUGCUAAUACCUCCUCCUGGUAGAGACUGACCCGAAACGACACCAGCACUUCUCUCAGUUAAAGCUCCUUACCUACUCUAUCACCGUGGGAACUGCAUGUUGCUUUGUUCAUUUUUCUCCUCGUUUGUUAAUCUGUCCCCAUUCCCUUUUUUUUUACCCAAUAGCAAAGGAAGUGACACUAGUUUAUAGGUCUAACACACGAGAAUUUGAAUCCAAAACCCACAGUGCAUCGGAAAUUCCUCAAUGUUUUCUUUCUUCUUCUUCUUCUUCUUCUUCUUCUUCUUCUUCUUCUUCUUCUUCUUCUUCUUCUUCUUCUUCUUCUUCUUCUUCCUCUCUCUCUCUCUCUCUCUCUCUCUCUCUCUCUCUCUCUCUCUCUCUAGUAUCAGCUGUGUCCUGCUACCAUAAUUACAAGAGCUACAUAUUUCAUCAUGUAUCAAGAUUUAAAAUAAUCUGCCACACAAUGCUUUUCUAUUUUCUUGGCUUUCAUUUACUCAGCAACAAUUUUUGUAUCAAGCUUCUCACCUGACCACACCAUCGAAGUGAUUCCCAUGUGACUCAGUGCCAUGGAGAACCAGCCUCCCUUUUACAGCCAUGUUAAGGUUGAUGUGAAUCACCCAAUAGCAGAUGCUGCAGAUGAAGGCACACCAAGAGGCUCUGUUGGCACAGCUGUCUCUACCUAGGGACGCACAUUUCCUCACUCACUGGAUCUUUCCCACGCUGUAUGGAUCCACACAUGAAGCUCUGUGGAUGGUCCAUACAGUGCAGAAUUCCCACCAGAGACAUAACUGGAAUUGAUAAACAAUUGAGCUAGUGUUUAGGUCAUACCACCACCACCACAAGAACCAAUAGUGUGGUUGUAUGGCAAUAGCGAGGCAUCUGAUAGAGAAAUCAAGGAAGCAAUCUCACAACUGUUGUGAGAUUGAUCUCACAAAUAAAUGAACAACAUAGAAACAAAUUUAGUCAAAGGUGAAAUAUAUCUACAAUAAAAAGUAUAAAACAUUGCAGAGUGUCAUGGUAUACUUCUUUAGUCCAAACAUCUUGAUGGCCAAGGAAGGCAGACUAUGUAAGUUCAGGACUAGCAACAUGGUCACAUAGCAAAUUUUACACAGCCUGAUUGUGUAGAAUUGAUCAUGUCUCAAAUAUAGACAUAUUUAAAUAUAUACAUAAAGGAAAACAUUCUUUGUUCAUGAUUCAAGACUUAGAAGAAUCUAUAUUGUUAAAUGUCCACGCUAUCCAAAGAGAUCUACAGAUUCAAUGCAGUCUUAACAAAGCACCAGUAAAAUUCCUCACAGAUUAAAAAAUAGCCUUCAAAUCUGUAUGAAACCUCAAAAAUGCAAAUAGACAAAGUAACCCUGUUCAUAAAGUACAAAAUGGGAGCCGUUAUACUCCAAAAUACACUACUGAGUUGUAGUGACCAAAGCAACAAGGUUUGGCAGAAAACCAGAAUCACAGACCAGUGGGACAGAACAGAGAGCCCAAGAAACCUGAAUACAUUCAAAGAACAAGCUAAGAAGGUGCUAAGAAGAUGCACCAAAGGAAGUAGGGUCUUUUCAAUUACUGGCCCUAUGAAAAUAGAUAUGGAAAAAAAUAAAGCUAGACUUCCCCCUUUCUCUUGAGCCAGUUACAAAAAUGAACUCUAAGUACACAGAAGUCUUCAAUGGAGGGACCUAAACUACUAUAAGAAAACAGAAGGAACAAUUCUGGACCUUGAAGACGGGCCAGGAAUUGCU